AUGUCGCACCGCAAGUUCGAGCACCCGAGGCACGGUUCCCUCGGCUUCCUCCCCAGGAAGCGCUGCUCUCGCCACCGCGGAAAGGUGAAGGCCUUCCCCAAGGAUGACCAACAGAAGCCUUGCCACCUCACUGCCUUCCUGGGCUACAAGGCUGGAAUGACCCACAUUGUUCGUGAGGUCGAGAAGCCUGGAUCUAAGCUCCACAAGAAGGAAACCUGUGAGGCUGUUACCAUCAUUGAGACCCCUCCUCUGGUCAUUGUUGGUCUUGUGGCCUAUGUGAAGACCCCUUGUGGCCUUCGCACUCUCAACUCUGUCUGGGCUCAGCACCUUAGCGAAGAUGUGAGGAGAAGGUUCUACAAGAACUGGUGCAAGAGCAAGAAGAAGGCGUUCACAAAGUAUGCCCUCAAGUAUGACUGUGAUGCGGGCAAGAAGGAAAUCCAGUUGCAGCUUGAGAAAAUGAAGAAGUAUGCCACUAUUGUCCGUGUUAUUGCCCAUACUCAGAUUAGGAAGAUGAAAGGCUUGAAACAGAAGAAGGCUCACCUCAUGGAGAUCCAGAUUAAUGGUGGCACCAUCGCAGACAAGGUUGACUAUGGCUACAAGUUCUUUGAGAAGGAAGUCCCAGUUGAAGCGGUCUUCCAGAAAGAUGAAAUGGUUGACAUCAUUGGUGUCACCAAGGGUAAGGGGUACGAAGGUGUCGUCACUCGCUGGGGUGUGACCCGCCUUCCCCGCAAGACCCACAGGGGUCUCCGAAAGGUUGCCUGUAUCGGUGCCUGGCAUCCUGCUAGGGUUUCCUACACUGUUGCUCGUGCUGGUCAGAAUGGUUACCACCACCGCACAGAGAUGAACAAAAAGAUUUACAAGAUGGGCAAGUCUGGACAGGAGUCUCACGAGGCCUGCACUGAGUUUGACAGGACUGAGAAGGACAUCACCCCGAUGGGUGGCUUCCCUCACUAUGGUGUGGUGAAGGGUGACUACCUCAUGAUCAAGGGCUGCUGUGUGGGCCCCAAGAAGAGAGUGGUGACCCUCCGCCAGUCCCUGUUGAAGCAGACAUCGCGGUUGGCCCUUGAGGAGAUCAAGCUCAAGUUCAUUGACACCUCAUCCAAGUUCGGGCAUGGCCGGUUCCAGACCACUGACGAGAAGCAGAAGUUCUACGGCAGGCUCAAGGCUUAG
rnacentral:rRNA from 1 species